GACGAACGCUGGCGGCGUGCUUAACACAUGCAAGUCGAACGGAAAGGCCCUGCUUUUGUGGGGUGCUCGAGUGGCGAACGGGUGAGUAACACGUGAGUAACCUGCCCUUGACUUUGGGAUAACUUCAGGAAACUGGGGCUAAUACCGGAUAGGAGCUCCUGCUGCAUGGUGGGGGUUGGAAAGUUUCGGCGGUUGGGGAUGGACUCGCGGCUUAUCAGCUUGUUGGUGGGGUAGUGGCUUACCAAGGCUUUGACGGGUAGCCGGCCUGAGAGGGUGACCGGCCAAAUGGGGAUGGAGAUACGGCCCAGACUCCUACGGGGGGCAGGAGUGGGGAAUAUUGCAAAAGGGGGGGAAGCCGGAUGCAGAAACGCCGGGGGGGGGAUGACGGCCUUGGGGUUGUAAACCGCUUUCGCCGGGGACGAAGGGGGGGGGAGGGUAAUGGGUAAAGAAGCACAGGCUAAAUACGU
rnacentral:rRNA from 1 species